rnacentral:lncRNA from 1 species
UUGGACGUGGAGGAACAAGGAGAGGAGGCGGGGGAGGGGGAGGAGAGAAGACGGUUUAGGGUUUAGGAAAGAAUAAAUCUGAUUCUGUAAGGGCAUUAUUGCCAACAUGGAACUCCUAUGUACCCUUUGUUCAAUGCAUCCUCCAUGGAAAUAGAAAUUGUCAAUGAAGUUAUUUGUUGCAGUGCAAAGAUGGAGUUUUU